UACAGAGGUGGCAAGCGUUGUUCGGAUUUACUGGGCGUAAAGGGCGCGUAGGCGGCUUGGUAAGUCCCGUGUGAAAUCCCUCGGCUCAACUGAGGAACUGCACGGGAAACUGCCUGGCUUGAGUUCGGGAGAGGGAAGCGGAAUUCCGGGUGUAGCGGUGAAAUGCGUAGAUAUCCGGAGGAACACCGGUGGCGAAGGCGGCUUCCUGGACCGACACUGACGCUGAGGCGCGAAAGCUAGGGGAGCAAACGGG
rnacentral:rRNA from 1 species